ACGAACGCUGGCGGCGUGCUUAACACAUGCAAGUCGAACGGAAAGGCCCUGCUUUUGUGGGGUGCUCGCGUGGCGAACGGGUGAGUAACACGUGAGUAACCUGCCCUUGACUUUGGGAUAACUUCAGGAAACUGGGGCUAAUACCGGAUAGGAGCUCCUGCUGCCUGGUGGGGGUUGGAAAGUUUCGGCGGUUGGGGAUGGACUCGCGGCUUAUCAGCUUGUUGGUGGGGUAGUGGCUUACCAAGGCUUUGACGGGUAGCCGGCCUGAGAGGGUGACCGGCCACAUUGGGACUGAGAUACGGCCCAGACUCCUACGGGAGGCAGCAGUGGGGAAUAUUGCACAAUGGGCGGAAGCCUGAUGCAGCAACGCCGCGUGCGGGAUGACGGCCUUCGGGUUGUAAACCGCUUUCGCCUGUGACGAAGCGUGAGUGACGGUAAUGGGUAAAGAAGCACCGGCUAACUACGUG
rnacentral:rRNA from 1 species